AUGGUGGCGAGCAUUGCCGGGGCGGCGGCGUCGUCGUCCGCGCACGCGCAUGCGGCUGGGCGGCGGGCCAAGAGGGAGCCGGUCCACAUGCACGCCGGCAUCCGGCGGUCGCGCUCCGAGCCGCACCUCCGCUGCUCCCGCCGCGGCGGGGCCGCGGGCGCGUCGCUCACCACCAGCCGCUCCAUCGGCGUCUUCCCCUUCCAGUUCGGCGCCGCGCCGCUCCCCGACGGCGUCGGCGGCGGCGACUACCGGCUCCUCACCGUGUGCGCCGGCGAGACCGACCCGGACCCGGACCCGGAAAUGCCGCAGGUCAGGACGCCCGAGGACCACUGGCUGGACCGGCUCCUGGAGCUGCGCUCCCGCUUCCACGACCCCACCAAGCGCUUCUUCACCGACAACGACAACCUCUUCGAGGAGGAGGACGACGACGACUACCACGAGGACGGCGGCUGCGGCGUGAACUACGAUGAGGAGCACACCGCGGCCGAGGCCGAUGACAUGUGGGACCGCGAGUCCUUCGUCAAGCUGCUGGCGCGGGCCCCGCCGGGCGAUGCCCGGCUGUUCGCGCAGCUGGCCUUCCUCUGCAACAUGGCCUACGUCAUCCCGGAGAUCAAGAGGGCUGAGCUGAGGAAACACUACGGACUCGAACUGGUGACGUCGUCGGUACAGAAGAAGGCCGAGGCCAACGCCGUGAGCGCUGAGGUGGACGGCGACUCCACCCGGCCGCCGGGCGACGCGCAGCAGUACGAGGUGGCUGCGGAGCCGCAGCCGCGGCGGCCGGUCCGCCGCUCCAACCACCUGGCCUACGAGGUGGCCGCGUCGGCCGCGUCCUACGUCCAAGCGCGGGCCCGCGGCCUGCUCUCGCUCCGCGGGCACCAGCACCCGCCGGCAGGGGAAGAAGACCGGCUGUACAACUCCGGCAUGGCGGCCUACGUUGCCGCUUCCACGGUGACGGCGGUGGUGGCCGCCGAGGACGAGGCGCGGCAAGAGGCUGCGCGUGACCUGCGGUCGCCGCUGUCCUCGCCGUGCCAGUGGUUCGUCUGCGACGAGGCCGACAUGCGCACCCGCUGCUUCGUCAUCCAGGGCUCCGACUCGGUCGCGUCCUGGCAAGCCAACCUCCUCUUCGAGCCCACCACGUUCGAGGACACGGGCGUUCUCGUGCACCGCGGCAUCUAUGAGGCGGCCAAGGGCAUCUACGAGCAGCUUAUGCCGGAGAUCGUGGAGCACCUGAGGGCGCACAAGGAGGGCGCUCGCCUGCGGUUCACGGGGCACUCGCUCGGCGGCAGUCUGGCGCUGCUUGUGAGUCUGAUGCUGGUGGCGCGCGGGGUGGUCGGCCCGGAGUCGCUGCUCCCCGUGGUCACCUUCGGCGCGCCGUCGGUGUUCUGCGGCGGACAGCGCGUGCUGGAGGCGCUCGGCGUCGGCGAGGGCCAUGUCCGCGCCGUGGCGAUGCACCGGGACAUCGUGCCGAGGGCAUUCUCGUGCCGGUACCCCGGCCACGCCGUCGCCGUGCUCAAGCGGCUCAACGGCGCGCUGCGCACGCACCCCUGCCUCAACAGCCAGAAGGUGCUGUACACGCCGAUGGGCACGACGUACAUCCUGCAGCCAGACGGCAAGGCGUCGCCGCACCACCCGUUCCUGCCGGAGGGCGCGGCGCUGUUCCGGGUGUCCAGCCCGGAGGAGCGCACGGAGCCGUCGGGGUCGGGGAGGGCCGUGGUGGCCAGCGCCCUGCGCGCGUUCCUCAACUCGCCGCACCCGCUGGAGACGCUGAGCGACCUGUCGGCCUACGGGUCCGAGGGCGCCAUCCUCCGGGACCACGAGUCCGGCAACUACUUCCGGGCGCUCUACGCGCUCACCAAGGUGGCGCCGCUUCGGCGGAAGCAGCCGGAGAUCGUGUGGAGGCUUCCCGGCGUGGAGCGGCUGCAGCAGUACUGGUGGCCGGGGGUGGCGGGCACCGUGGUCCCGAGGCCGGUGGCCGUCCGCAGCAAGGAGCUGGUAUCCGAAGCCUGA
rnacentral:rRNA from 1 species